rnacentral:rRNA from 1 species
GAUGAACGCUGGCGGCGUGCCUAAUACAUGCAAGUCGAGCGAACGGACGAGAAGCUUGCUUCUCUGAUGUUAGCGGCGGACGGGUGAGUAACACGUGGAUAACCUACCUAUAAGACUGGGAUAACUUCGGGAAACCGGAGCUAAUACCGGAUAAUAUUUUGAACCGCAUGGUUCAAAAGUGAAAGACGGUCUUGCUGUCACUUAUAGAUGGAUCCGCGCUGCAUUAGCUAGUUGGUAAGGUAACGGCUUACCAAGGCAACGAUGCAUAGCCGACCUGAGAGGGUGCGCGGCCACAGUGGAACUGAGACACGGUCCAGACUCCUACGGGAGGCGGAAGUAGGGAAUCUUCCGCAAGGGGCGAAAGCCUGACGGAGCAACGCGGCGGGAGUGAUGAAGGUCUUCGGAUAGUAAAACUCUGUUAUUGGGGAAGAACAAAUGUGUAAGUAACUGUGCACAUCUUGACGGUACCUAAUCAGAAAGCCACGGCUAACUACGUG